UUGAGUGACAGAUAGUAAAGUAACGACAGAAGUGACGCAGUUGUGCAAGCAGGAAACGUACCUUGCAUCUUGUUAAAACAUGCUUGGUCCUCCUCUCCACGACAGGUGUGACAGCAGGGGAAUACUUUGGAGACUCCUUUCCACAGUAGACAGAUGUUCCCCAUUGGUCAGGAUACACAGUAAGCUGGAGCGAUGUCAGCGACUACGCUUGGCCAUAGUUUUCCUCGAGAUGCUGAUGAAAGUCUGAUAGCUACAGCUUCUCAAAGCUUUGUGUUUCACCCACAAAGGAGCACAUUUGUUGCCUGGAGACGGUGAAGAUUUUGGCCCGGUCAGUCAAUAUAUCUUAUUCCUUGCUUAAAAAAGAAUUGGCUGUUGUGUCAAGUUGUGUCCUUUUGUAAAUUUUAUCCACACGCAAUGGAGGUUUAAGACAGGGCAUACAAAUAUUUCAAUUUAUGUAAAACAACACUGGUCAGAAGAAAUAGUAAGAAGGACCCUGUACAUGAAAAGAAAACACAUGCAUUGCAGUUUUUUGGACUCUUCUGUGCACCCCUUCAACACUCACAUCUAUCUAAUGUAAAAGUUCUCUGUAAUGUUCACCAAACGUGCACUGGUGCAUUCUUCACAAUUGAACUCACAGCUACCUUUAAUAAAAAAAAGUUG